CUUCUGAAGUUUGUUCCAGGAGUCUUUGGAAAAUGCUGGGAAAACUAGAGGGAGGAGGAGGGACCCAGAAGGAAUGGAGAUCGGCAGUACGAGUACAGUAUCUGUACCGAUUUCAGCUAGAUUGGAAGGUCCCUGAGCACAGAAAUCCUAUCAACUAAUGCUGUUCCACUCUCCCAGAGGAUUUGUUCGAUCACGCGAGCGGACGAUCCCUUUCAGCCCCGCCGUUUCCAGAGGUAAAAGAUGAGUUUCAUCGGCGGGCCUUCGACGCGGAGAGGUGACCGAGGGACGGACGGGUCAAGCGGCCGGUAAUUUCGAUUCCUCCGCGCUCAGAAAAUGACUAGGCGUUUUUUUUUUCAGGUACACACAAAUAGUUCACUCAAACGCAGAGGGACAAAACGCUUUUCCCUUUUUUUUUUUUAAACAAAGGUAACAAAUAUAAAAAAACUGAGUCAUCAACAGCCUUCGAAGUACAGUUAGAAACCAGAGGGUAGUGGGGAGAUCUACAGAGGUUGCUGCUGGGGGAGCAAACUAGACACUUUCAUGGCUGCCUUGGUAGAGAUUGUGAGAUGGCCGAGGAGACGGGAAACAGUUACAACACAUCCGGGUCGACUGCUGCCGGCCCAUCGCGGGCCAAACCAAACGCUCUUCUCUUCAGGAUCCAAGGAUUUCCUUCGCAUAUGCCGCGGGGAACCUUCUCGGCACUAAGUGUUCUCAACCCAUUGGAAAAGAGGCAGUUUCUACGGCUAGGCUAGUUAAGUGCAUAUAUCAUGCUGCACUAAUAUAGUGCAAAAAUUUGCCUUACAUGUAACCAGAAAAAGAUGCAGGCAACAAGUUAGAGAGUUAGAGAAAGUAGAAAUGUCGUAUUAACACACGGGGAUUAAUUAUCCGGACAGUAACCACUAUAAAAUACCAAACCUGAAGACGCUUUCUUCCUAGAAACUGGUACAUUUCCGUCAGCUUUGGAGAGAGAGAGACCAGAACUGAGUGUCCACCCUGUGAACCGCACGAGAGCGGGCGCUACCAUCCACGACCAAGGUGCCGAGAUGGUCCACGGAGACGGGCUCCGCUGAGGAAAGAGUCAACCUCUUACGAAGCUCUAAACUGCUUGGCAACGAGGAUAUAAUCGGACGGGAUCAUACUUAGGUUUUGGCUGAACAUAGACGCUCUUAUGCUGCGUUAUUUGAACGUUGGGUAGCGAGAGCUGGCUAGAGGCUCUUCAUGCGGAUGGGUUACAUCGCGGGGAAGAUCUGGUCCAAGCGAGCUAACUCUGUGUUUUGACGAGAGGGCUUGGCGAUGCAGGCGGCUUGGUUUGGUGGUUGGUUGGUUUGCGGGAAGACCCAGGCGGGGUCUCAGGAUGAUCUCCGCGGCCUCUUCGGGGCUGACGGUCUAGAGUUGGUGCCUUGACUCUCCUCAGUGGCGUAUUAAGAACUCCGUUCUCCCCAGUCUUCCGUUUCCUCUAGUGAGGCGAUUCUUAAAAGAGUCAAAAUGCUUCCUUCUGCGGCCCUCCCCUCCCCCCCCAUACCCGCAUGGCCAUUUCCAAGCAGGAUGCAGAAUUCGGUCGUCGUUCUGCUUUACAUAUCUGCGUCUCCGUCGUAGGCUAAGGUUAAAGGUUUCAGUCGGUUGUUCUGCCUUCUCUGCGGUUUCUUUGGCUUUUUACUGCAACGAGUCACGGGGAAACAUGCAUUUGAAUGGAAAUCAGUGAAAGAGGACGGUCAGAGGCUCAAGAUUUUAAUGAACUUUUUAUCCAAAGUAAA